UCGGGAAUUUUGGGCAAUGGGCGAAAGCCUGACCCAGCAACGCCGCGUGAGGGAUGAAGUAUUUCGGUAUGUAAACCUCGAAAGAAUGGGAAGAAUAAAUGACGGUACCAUUUAUAAGCUCCGGCUAACUACGUGCCAGCAGCCGCGGUAAUACGUAGGGAGCAAGCGUUGUUCGGAUUUACUGGGCGUAAAGGGCGCGUAGGCGGCGCGGUAAGUCACUUGUGAAAUCUCUGAGCUUAACUCAGAACGGCCAAGUGAUACUGCUGUGCUAGAGUGCGGAAGAGGCAACCGGAAUUCUUGGUGUAGCUGUGAAAUGCGUAGAUAUCAAGAGGAACACCUGAGGCGAAGGCGGGUUGCUGGGCCGACACUGACGCUGAUGCGCGAAAGCCAGGGGAGCAAACG
rnacentral:rRNA from 1 species